rnacentral:rRNA from 1 species
AGUGGGGAAUAUUGGACAAUGGGGGAAACCCUGAUCCAGCGACGCCGCGUGGGUGAAGAAGGCCUGCGGGUUGUAAAGCCCUUUCGGUAGGGACGAAAGCCUCCGACCUAACACGUCGGGGGGUUGACUUAACCUACAGAAGAAGCACCGGCUAACUCUGUGCCAGCAGCCGCGGUAAUACAGAGGGUGCGAGCGUUAAUCGGAAUUACUGGGCGUAAAGCGCACGUAGGCGGCUUGGUAUGUCGGGUGUGAAAUCCCCGGGCUCAACCUGGGAACUGCAUCCGAAACUGCCUUGCUCGAGUAUGGGAGAGGGAAGUGGAAUUUCCGGUGUAGCGGUGAAAUGCGUAGAUAUCGGAAGGAACAUCAGUGGCGAAGGCGACUUCCUGGACCAAUACUGACGCUCAGGUGCGAAAGCGUGGGGAGCAAA